rnacentral:rRNA from 1 species
GGUUAAGCGAACAAGCGUACACGGUGGAUGCCCUGGCAGUCAGAGGCGAUGAAGGACGUGCUAAUCUGCGAAAAGCGCCGGUAAGGUGAUAUGAACCGUUAUAACCGGCGAUGUCCGAAUGGGGAAACCCGGUGCACUUCGGUGCAUCAUCGUUAGCUGAAUACAUAGGCUAACGAGGCGAACCGGGGGAACUGAAACAUCUAAGUACCCCGAGGAAAAGAAAUCAACCGAGAUUCCCCCAGUAGCGGCGAGCGAACGGGGAACAGCCCAGAGCCUGAAUCAGCUUGUGUGUCAGUGGAACGGUCUGGAAAGGCCGGCGAUACAGGGUGACAGCCCCGUACACGAAGGCACACAGGCUGUGAGCUCGAUGAGUAGGGCGGGACACGUGAUAUCCUGUCUGAAGAUGGGGGGACCAUCCUCCAAGGCUAAAUACUCCUGACUGACCGAUAGUGAACCAGUACCGUGAGGGAAAGGCGAAAAGAACCCCGGCGAGGGGAGUGAAACAGAACCUGAAACCGUGUACGUACAAGCAGUGGGAGCCUUCGUAAGAGGGUGACUGCGUACCUUUUGUAUAAUGGGUCAGCGACUUAUAUUCUGUAGCAAGGUUAACCGUAUAGGGGAGCCGAAGGGAAACCGAGUCUUAACCGGGCGUUAAGUUGCAGGGUAUAGACCCGAAACCCGGUGAUCUAGCCAUGGGCAGGUUGAAGGUUGGGUAACACUAACUGGAGGACCGAACCGACUAAUGUUGAAAAAUUAGCGGAUGACCUGUGGCUGGGGGUGAAAGGCCAAUCAAACCGGGAGAUAGCUGGUUCUCCCCGAAAGCUAUUUAGGUAGCGCCUCGUGAACUCAUCUCCGGGGGUAGAGCACUGUUUCGGCUAGGGGGCCAUCCCGGCUUACCAACCCGAUGCAAACUGCGAAUACCGGAGAAUGUUAUCACGGGAGACACACGGCGGGUGCUAACGUCCGUCGUGAAGAGGGAAACAACCCAGACCGCCAGCUAAGGUCCCAAAGUCAUGGUUAAGUGGGAAACGAUGUGGGAAGGCCCAGACAGCCAGGAUGUUGGCUUAGAAGCAGCCAUCAUUUAAAGAAAGCGUAAUAGCUCACUGGUCGAGUCGGCCUGCGCGGAAGAUGUAACGGGGCUAAACCAUGCACCGAAGCUGCGGCAGCGACGCUUAUGCGUUGUUGGGUAGGGGAGCGUUCUGUAAGCCUGCGAAGGUGUGCUGUGAGGCAUGCUGGAGGUAUCAGAAGUGCGAAUGCUGACAUAAGUAACGAUAAAGCGGGUGAAAAGCCCGCUCGCCGGAAGACCAAGGGUUCCUGUCCAACGUUAAUCGGGGCAGGGUGAGUCGACCCCUAAGGCGAGGCCGAAAGGCGUAGUCGAUGGGAAACAGGUUAAUAUUCCUGUACUUGGUGUUACUGCGAAGGGGGGACGGAGAAGGCUAUGUCGGCCGGGCGACGGUUGUCCCGGUUUAAGCGUGUAGGCUGACUUUCCAGGCAAAUCCGGAAAGUUAAGGCUGAGGCGUGAUGACGAGGCACCACGGUGCUGAAGUGACAAAUGCCCUGCUUCCAGGAAAAGCCUCUAAGCAUCAGGUAACAUCAAAUCGUACCCCAAACCGACACAGGUGGUCAGGUAGAGAAUACCAAGGCGCUUGAGAGAACUCGGGUGAAGGAACUAGGCAAAAUGGUGCCGUAACUUCGGGAGAAGGCACGCUGACAUGUAGGUGAAGCCCCUGCGGGUGGAGCUGAAGUCAGUCGAAGAUACCAGCUGGCUGCAACUGUUUAUUAAAAACACAGCACUGUGCAAACACGAAAGUGGACGUAUACGGUGUGACGCCUGCCCGGUGCCGGAAGGUUAAUUGAUGGGGUUAUCGCAAGAGAAGCUCCUGAUCGAAGCCCCGGUAAACGGCGGCCGUAACUAUAACGGUCCUAAGGUAGCGAAAUUCCUUGUCGGGUAAGUUCCGACCUGCACGAAUGGCGUAAUGAUGGCCAGGCUGUCUCCACCCGAGACUCAGUGAAAUUGAACUCGCUGUGAAGAUGCAGUGUACCCGCGGCAAGACGGAAAGACCCCGUGAACCUUUACUACAGCUUGACACUGAACAUUGAGCCUUGAUGUGUAGGAUAGGUGGGAGGCUUUGAAGCGUGGACGCCAGUCUGCGUGGAGCCGACCUUGAAAUACCACCCUUUAAUGUUUGAUGUUCUAACCUGGCGCCCUAAUCGGGCGUGGGGACAGUGUCUGGUGGGUAGUUUGACUGGGGCGGUCUCCUCCCAAAGUGUAACGGAGGAGCACGAAGGUCAGCUAAUCCUGGUCGGACAUCAGGAGGUUAGUGCAAUGGCAUAAGCUGGCUUGACUGCGAGAGUGACGGCUCGAGCAGGUGCGAAAGCAGGUCAUAGUGAUCCGGUGGUUCUGUAUGGAAGGGCCAUCGCUCAACGGAUAAAAGGUACUCCGGGGAUAACAGGCUGAUACCGCCCAAGAGUUCAUAUCGACGGCGGUGUUUGGCACCUCGAUGUCGGCUCAUCACAUCCUGGGGCUGAAGUAGGUCCCAAGGGUAUGGCUGUUCGCCAUUUAAAGUGGUACGCGAGCUGGGUUUAGAACGUCGUGAGACAGUUCGGUCCCUAUCUGCCGUGGGCGCUGGAGAAUUGAGGGGGGCUGCUCCCAGUACGAGAGGACCGGAGUGGACGCAUCACUGGUGUUCGGGUUGUCAUGCCAAUGGCACUGCCCGGUAGCUAAAUGCGGAAGAGAUAAGUGCUGAAAGCAUCUAAGCACGAAACUUGCCCCGAGAUGAGUUCUCCCUGAGACU